rnacentral:rRNA from 1 species
UAAAGAUUCAUCGGCUGCGGAUGGCCAUGCGGCGCAUUAGCUAGUCGGCGGGGUAACGGCCCACCGAGGCGACGAUGCGUAGGGGUUCUGAGAGGAAGGUCCCCCACACUGGUACUGAGACACGGACCAGACUCCUACGGGAGGCAGCAGUGAGGAAUAUUGGUCAAUGGCCGGGAGGCUGAACCAGCCAAGUCGCGUGAGGGAAGACGGCCCUACGGGUUGUAAACCUCUUUUGUCAGGGAGCAAGAGGCGGGUCGAGACCUGCUGUGAGAGUACCUGAAGAAAAAGCAUCGGCUAACUCCGUGCCAGCAGCCGCGGUAAUACGGAGGAUGCGAGCGUUAUCCGGAUUUAUUGGGUUUAAAGGGUGCGCAGGCGGAGGCACAAGUCAGCGGUAAAAUCGCGGGGCUCAACCCCGCUCCGCCGUUGAAGCUGUGUCCCUUGAGUGCGCGAAGGGUAGGCGGAAUGCGUGGUGUAGCGGUGAAAUGCAUAGAUAUCACGCAGAACUCCGAUCGCGAAGGCAGCCUACCGGCGCGCAACUGACGCUCAUGCACGAAAGCGUGGGUAUCGAACAGGAUUAGAUACCCUGGUAGUCCACGCAGUAAACGAUGAAUGCUAUCUGUCCGGCCGGAAUGACGGCUGG